CGAGAACACCCCCGAUCUUGUAGAAAGACUAAUGGAAAGGGUCUCCAAGGAAACCCCCGGGAAAAAGCUUGCGGGAAGGGGCCAGGAGGGAGGUGCGGGGCCCGGGCCCCCCCGUCGCCAAUGGUAGGAUCCUCUCUGGCAGUCACGUGGGGACCUUGCCUACCGUGACGUCAGGGAUCGGCCUCAAUACAAUGUUGCAGAGUUCUAUUCGCUUUCCUCCCCCUCCUCCCUCCCGCCCGCCUCCCCCCGCUGGAAUUCUGAGAACUAAUUUGCUUGGCGGUGACAUAAGAGAAAUCCGGGGAUCCGGGGCGAAUUCCAUUUCGCAGCUUCGGUUCCCACCCCCCCAUCCCAGCAUCUCUUUAAGGGGAGAAAAAAAAAAGCUUUAACAACCCCCCCCCUCGUUCCAAAGGCUUUUGCAUUUGCUUUUCAGGUCCUAAGCAGAGAGAGAAAGAGAGAGGGAGAGAGCCCCAAAACAUGGUGAUAAUAAUAUGCAGCUUUUGAUGAGGGGGGGGGGUUGCUUUGACUUUUUGCUUUUUCUCUCCCCCCCCCCCCACCGCCGCCAGCAAUAUUCAGUAGGAAAGGGGAGAAAAAGAAACGAGAGCAGGAGGAGGGCAAAGAGAAAUCCUCGUUGCGCCGCAGGCGCUGGUGAGGGUGAAGAAUUGGAGUAAGUGCGUUUGUGGAACGUUCCUUUCAAGAGAGACCUGGGACUUGCUUUUUUGGAAAACAUCUCCUCUGGGCUCGUGUGAUUUCAGAGAAGGGGGAGGAUUCGCUGCUGGAGAAACAAGGUCGUGGCUUGUUUGUGGAUUCUUGUUUUUGUUUUUCCGUUCUAGAUACUUUUUCUAGAAGUUUUUCAGUUUUGUGGGGUUCCCCCUCCGUUUCAACUGGCUCUCCUAUAAAUCGAGGACUCUUGAUCAAACUCAAUCUGCUGGGAGGACUCACUCGGCUUAUCUUUCUGAAGGAUUCUGGCGUGGUGGUUCGGUUCUGGGACGCUUCACUUUUCCCCCUUUCCCCUGUUCAGAUUGUGGGUCUUCAGGGGCUCCCAAAUGGAUCAGCUCCUUUCCUCUGUUGCAGUGGGGAAGCCAAGAGGGAAAGUUGCAGAAGGAGCCCACAUUGCUUAUGGUGGAACCGCAAGCGGGCCUUGCAGUACCCACGCCUGGGUUGCAGCUGUGGGGUGGGCAACGGGGUGACGGGCGAGGGGAGAUCCAGACCCCCCUUGUGCCCUGCAGGCCGGGUCAUAGCAGAUCUCUGGCUCUGAAGGGGAGUUGUGUGUGUGUUGGGGGGGGGUGUUCCAUCUGGAGCAAAUGUAAAAUGAAACCAGGGUUUGGGAAUCCCUGGCUGUCAAAACAGUUUUCUGCCUCGAAAGCUUGUCCUUGAUUAGAAAUGAGAGCAGUUUAAUGCGGAUCGUUCUGCGUGCUCCAGAGUCUCUGCAAAGCCUUUAUUUUAAAGUUGUAGAUUGAAAAUUAUUGCUAGGAUUUUUUUUGGGGGGGAUUAUUUGUUCGCUUUGUAGCAUUUCAGAACUGCCUGUGUGUUUGUGUGAAAAGGCCUCCCUUCUUUUUAACUGUUGAAGGAGACUUUAGACCUGGAAACUUGUGUGGCCUGUCGGGUUUUAUCAAGCUAAAUAGAUUGUAAAUAUAUAUAUGUAUCUCUGCAUGGCCUGGGAGGGGGCAUGGAGGGGGAAGACGGUUUGCCAAAACUUUGAGGAUCAAAGGUGUUGUUGUUCUUGUUUUGGAACUUAUGGCGAUGCAGAUGUCUUUCCGACUUUCACUGUAUCAGGGCCUAAGCAGCAUGCUGUCCUAUCAAGCGGAGUUCUCAAUUAUUUGUUUAUUUAAUGAUAAUAAACCUCUAAUUGUUAUGAGAUUGUGGGAGGAUCUAUAAAUAGCUCAGUGACUCUUUCUCUCUUAAAUUCUCCCCCCCCCUUUGACAGAAGGGGGAGGGAAAGAGAAUCAAGGAAGCCCGAUAAACUGUGAAUGGGAAUUUGUUUACAAUAAUCUCUCCAAGUUUGAAUCACAGCACAGUCACACUGGCUAAUCAAAUUGCUUAGGGAAACUGAUUAAAUGACAUGCAAAUUGUUUGAAACACUCAGCUGUAACUUCAGUGUGUGUGUUUAAUUCUCAGUAUAAAUAUUGCAUAGAUCCUCUCAGAUCUUUGAGAAAGGAAAAAAUACGUAUGAUUUUGGGGUUAUGCACCUUCCAGCGAUUAAUGUCUUGCAGAGAAUCCAGACUUUGAAUGCAGUUUAAGAAAAAUUGCAAUUCAGGAACAUGGAUUUAUCUCAUUUUGUAGAUUGCAGAGCAAAGGGCACAAUGUUUUGGUGGAUGUCUGCAAACUGAGCCUUAAAUCAGAGGGACGAUUUGUCCUUGCAUUUGUUUGCUUGUGUGCAGAUAGAUAACAACUAUAUUUACAAGUCAUUAUUUUCCUGAAAAUAAAAAUCUAUAUUUCCCUGAAAUUUAAA